UGGGAUGCUGAGCGCCAGGCGCACCCAGAAACCCUUUGUGAACUUAUACCUUACUGUUGCCUCGGCGCAUGCCGGCCCCCCUGGGGGCCCCUCCUUCUGGAGGAGCAGGCACGCCGGCGGCCAACCUAACUCUUGUUUUUACACUGAAACUCUGAGAAUAAAACAUAAAUGAAUCAAAACUUUCAACAACGGAUCUCUUGGUUCUGGCAUCGAUGAAGAACGCAGCGAAAUGCGAUAAGUAAUGUGAAUUGCAGAAUUCAGUGAAUCAUCGAAUCUUUGAACGCACAUUGCGCCCUCUGGUAUUCCGGAGGGCAUGCCUGUUCGAGCGUCAUUUCAACCCUCAAGCCUGGCUUGGUGAUGGGGCACUGCCUGUAAAAGGGCAGGCCCUGAAAUUCAGUGGCGAGCUCGCCAGGACCCCGAGCGCAGUAGUUAAACCCUCGCUUUGGAAGGCCCUGGCGGUGCCCUGCCGUUAAACCCCCAACUUCUGAAAAUUUGACCUCGGAUCAGGUAGGAAUACCCGCUGAACUUAAGCAUAUCAAAAGCCGGAGG
rnacentral:rRNA from 1 species